rnacentral:rRNA from 1 species
GAUGAACGCUCGCGAUAGGCUUAACACAUGCAAGUCGAGGGGCAGCACAAGGUAGCUUGCUAUCUGGGUGGCGACCGGCGCACGGGUGCGUAACGCGUAUGCAACUUGCCCUAUACAGGAGGAUAACCCGUCGAAAGACGGACUAAUACUGCGUAUGCUCACAACUUGGCAUCAAGUGGUGAGGAAAGAAAUUCGGUAUAGGAUAGGCAUGCGUCCCAUUAGCUUGUUGGUGAGGUAACGGCUCACCAAGGCAACGAUGGGUAGGGGAACUGAGAGGUUUAUCCCCCACACUGGUACUGAGACACGGACCAGACUCCUACGGGAGGCAGCAGUGAGGAAUAGUGGUCAAUGGGCGCGAGCCUGAACCAGCCAAGUCGCGUGAAGGAUGACUGUCUUAUGGAUUGUAAACUUCUUUUAUACGGGAAUAACAAGAGUCACGGGUGACUCCCUGCAUGUACCGUAUGAAUAAGCAUCGGCUAACUCCGUG